rnacentral:rRNA from 1 species
AAAGUCCCGCAAGGGAUUAGUAGAGUGGCAAACGGGUGAGUAACACGUGGGUGACCUGCCUCCGAGUGGGGGAUAACGUCCCGAAAGGGACGCUAAUACCGCAUAACAUCCCGCCUUUUAACAGGUGGAGAUCAAAGCUGGGGAUCGCAAGACCUAGCGCUUGAAGAGGGGCCCGCGCCUGAUUAGCUAGUUGGUGGGGUAAUGGCUCACCAAGGCAACGAUCAGUAUCCGGCCUGAGAGGGCGGACGGACAUACUGGGACUGAGACACGGCCCAGACUCCUACGGGAGGCAGCAGUGGGGAAUUGUUCGCAAUGGGCGCAAGCCUGACGACGCAACGCCGCGUGGAGGAUGAAGACCUUCGGGUCGUAAACUCCUUUCGAUCGAGACGAAUGGCCUCAGGAUGAACAAUCCGGAGGAGUGACGGUACCGAGAGAAGAAGCCCCGGCUAACUCCGUGCCAGCAGCCGCGGUAAUACGGGGGGGGCAAGCGUUGUUCGGAAUUACUGGGCGUAAAGGGCUCGUAGGUGGCCAACUAAGUCAGACGUGAAAUCCCUCGGCUUAACCGGGGAACUGCGUCUGAUACUGGAUGGCUUGAGUUUGGGAGAGGGACGCGGAAUUCCAGGUGUAGCGGUGAAAUGCGUAGAUAUCUGGAGGAACACCGGUGGCGAAGGCGGCGUCCUGGACCAACACUGACACUGAUGAGCGAAAGCCAGGGGAGCAAACGGGAUUAGAUACCCCGGUAGUCCUGGCCCUAAACGAUGAAUGCUUGGUGUGGCGGGUAUCGAUCCCUGCCGUGCCGAAGCUAACGCA